UUUGAUCCUGGCUCAGAUUGAACGCUGGCGGCAGGCCUAACACAUGCAAGUCGAACGGUAGCAGGAUGUGCUUGCACAUCGCUGACGAGUGGCGGACGGGUGAGUAAUGCUUAGGGAUCUGCCUCUGUGUGGGGGAUAACUAUUGGAAACGAUAGCUAAUACCGCAUAAUGUUUACGGACCAAAGGGGGCUUUUAGCUCCCGCGCAGAGAGGAACCUAAGUGAGAUUAGCUAGUUGGUGGGGUAAAGGCUCACCAAGGCGACGAUCUCUAGCUGUUCUGAGAGGAAGAUCAGCCACACUGGGACUGAGACACGGCCCAGACUCCUACGGGAGGCAGCAGUGGGGAAUAUUGCACAAUGGGGGAAACCCUGAUGCAGCCAUGCCGCGUGUGUGAAGAAGGCCUUCGGGUUGUAAAGCACUUUCAGUUGUGAGGAAAGGUUGAUGGUUAAUACC
rnacentral:rRNA from 4 species